AUACGGUUAGAGAUUCCGACAGUUUAUGAUAUAAUAAGAUAAAUAUUUUCUAGUCAUUUUAUAAGUUAAUGAACUCAAUAUUCUUUUUCGAAUCUAAUAGCAAACAGCGUGAAGUUAUAAUCAUUGAAGAAGAUUCUAACUUAACAACAAACGGAUACUUUGAUGGCACCAGCAAAGAACCAAAGAUUUGGACUGGCAGAUACCUUCUGUUGGCAAUCGAGCGCGACAGUUACUUCAUAAUGACCCUUUGCUCAAAACAGGGUGGAAAUAGUAAGUAUACUUCUUGAUUAUUACUUUAUUAAGAGACUCGAUGCAUCAGCACCAAAUACAGAGACGCUGAGUCCAUACAGCAUCACACCGCAGAAGAACAUCCUCGUAUUCACAUAUAAGAUAACUUCAGAUCACACACGUAUAUCUCUUGCUAACAUACAUUAAGCAAUAAAAGGCUGAGCAUUUUUUUUCAACAUUUCUACCCCAUUUGUCCCUGCAUAACAUUCCUUGACGUUCUGGCACUUAACCUCCGGCUGAUAGGGACAUUACACCACCGCCGUCACUGUAUCGGCGCUUGCCCUCAGUCAUCUUGUGUGUUUUUCAUCACAAACAAAGUCUUUAAUAGGCCUAUUUAUUUUUUGUGAAGACAUCAGUUCCUGAAAAUAUAAAUUUUUAACAUUUAUCUGCCUCCAAACCCUUGACGAUGAGAGUGGGAUACUCUAUAAAGUCUCUUUUCAAAAAUUUUAUAUCCUCUUCUCCCUUACCCAAAGCUUGUUCUAUGCCGUAUCCACCUUACCUUCAAUGCUUUAAAACAAAUAUAAGGAACAAUUCAUCAUGUUCAUUGUUACGUCAACUAGUCACUUUAUCGCCUUUUACUCAGUCAAAAUGUACCUGUAUCAAGUUAUUUGAGAAGUCACAAACUCAUAUGCAUUAAUUUGUUUUAAUUCGUUCACUUA